UCGCGGGUUCGAAUCCCGCCGGGGAUGCCA
rnacentral:sRNA from 1 species